CCAAUAGCGUAUAUUAAAGUUGUUGCAGUUAAAAAGCUCGUAGUUGAAUUUCGGGAUCAAUAUAUCGGUCGUGCCAUUGGUACGUACUGGUAUCAUUGGUUUCUCCUUUCUGACGAACCAUGAUGUCAUUAAUUUGGUGUUAUGGGAAGUUAGGACUGUUACUUUGAAAAAAUUAGCGUGUUUAAAGCAGGCUUUAGCUUGAAUACAUUAGCAUGGAAUAAUGAAAUAGGACGUUUGAUUCUAUUUUGUUGGUUUCUAGGAUCGACGUAAUGAUUAAUAGGGAUAGUUGGGGGCAUUAGUAUUAAAUUGUCAGAGGUGAAAUUCUUGGAUUUAUUGAAGACUAACUACUGCGAAAGCAUUUGCCAAGGAUGUUUUCAUUAAUCAAGAACGAAAGUUAGAGGUUCGAAGGCGAUCAGAUACCGCCCUAGUUCUAACCAUAAACGAUGCCGACCGGCGAUCCGCUGUCGUUACUUGAAUGACUCAGCGGGCAGCCUCCG
rnacentral:misc_RNA from 1 species